rnacentral:rRNA from 1 species
CCUACGAGAGGCAGCAGUGAGGAAUAUUGGUCAAUGGGCGGAAGCCUGAACCAGCCAAGUAGCGUGCAGGAUGACGGCCCUACGGGUUGUAAACUGCUUUUAUACGGGAAUAACGCGCCUUACGUGUCGGGCUUUUCAUGUAACGUAUGAAUAAGGACUGGCUAAUUCCGUGCCAGCAGCCGAGGUAAUACGGAAGGUCCGGGCGUUAUCCGGUUUUAUUGGGUUUACAGGGAGCGUAGGCCGCAUGUCAAGCGUGCUGUGAAAUGUCCGUGCUCAACCCGGGCCUUGCAGCGCGAACUGGCGUGCUUGAGUCCGCGGAAAGCAGGCGGAAUUCGUCGUGUAGCGGUGAAAUGCUUAG